rnacentral:rRNA from 1 species
UACGUAGGGUGCAAGCGUUGUCCGGAAUUAUUGGGCGUAAAGAGCUCGUAGGCGGUCUGUCGCGUCUGCUGUGAAAACUCGGGGCUUAACCCCGGGCCUGCAGUGGGUACGGGCAGACUAGAGUGCGGUAGGGGAGACUGGAAUUCCUGGUGUAGCGGUGAAAUGCGCAGAUAUCAGGAGGGAACACCGGUGGGCGAAGGCGGGUCUCUGGGC